AGGAAUAUUGGUCAAUGGGCGCGAGCCUGAACCAGCCAAGUAGCGUGAAGGAUGAAGGUCCUACGGAUUGUAAACUUCUUUUAUAAGGGAAUAAAGUCAUCUACGUGUAGGUGUUUGUAUGUACCUUAUGAAUAAGCAUCGGCUAACUCCGUGCCAGCAGCCGCGGUAAUACGGAGGAUGCGAGCGUUAUCCGGAUUUAUUGGGUUUAAAGGGAGCGUAGACGGGUCGUUAAGUCAGCUGUGAAAGUUUGGGGCUCAACCUUAAAAUUGCAGUUGAUACUGGCGUCCUUGAGUACGGUUGAGGCAGGCGGAAUUCGUGGUGUAGCGGUGAAAUGCUUAGAUAUCACGAAGAACCCCGAUUGCGAAGGCAGCCUGCUAAACCGCCACUGACGUUGAGGCUCGAAAGUGUGGGUAUCAAACAGGAUUAGAUACCCUGGUAGUCCACACGGUAAACGAUGGAUACUCGCUGUUGGCGAUAGACUGUCAGCGGCUUAGCGAAAGCGUUAAGUAUCCCACCUGGGGAGUACGCCGGCAACGGUGAAACUCAAAGGAAUUGACGGGGGCCCGCACAAGCGGAGGAACAUGUGGUUUAAUUCGAUGAUACGCGAGGAACCUUACCCGGGCUUGAAUUGCAGACGAAUUGCUUGGAAACAGGCAAGCCGCAAGGCGUCUGUGAAGGUGCUGCAUGGUUGUCGUCAGCUCGUGCCGUGAGGUGUCGGCUUAAGUGCCAUAACGAGCGCAACCCUCGUGUCCAGUUACUAGCAGGUUAUGCUGAGGACUCUGGACAGACUGCCAUCGUAAGAUGUGAGGAAGGUGGGGAUGACGUCAAAUCAGCACGGCCCUUACGUCCGGGGCUACACACGUGUUACAAUGGGGGGUACAGCAGGCAGCUACCGGGCGACCGGAUGCCAAUCCCGAAAGCCUCUCUCAGUUCGGACUGGAGUCUGCAACCCGACUCCACGAAGCUGGAUUCGCUAGUAAUCGCGCAUCAGCCACGGCGCGGUGAAUACGUUCCCG
rnacentral:rRNA from 1 species